GGCGCGUCCAGCUCUGGGCCAGGGGGUCCAAAGUGCUCAGCCCCCGGGGCACAGCAGGACGUUUGGGGGCCUUCUUUCAGCAGGGGACAGCCCGAUUGGGGACAAUGGCGUCUCUUGGCCACAUCUUGGUUUUCUGUGUGAGUCUCAUCACCAUGGCCAAGGCAGAAAGUCCAAAGGAGCAAGACCCGUUCACUUAUGACUACCAGUCCCUGCGGAUCGGAGGCCUCAUCAUUGCCGGGAUCCUCUUCAUCCUGGGCAUCCUCAUUGUGCUCAGCAGAAGAUGCCGGUGCAAGUUCAACCAGCAGCAGAGGACUGGGGAACCCGAUGAAGAGGAGGGAACUUUCCGCAGCUCCAUCCGCCGUCUGUCCACCCGCAGGCGGUAGAAACACCUGGCGCGAUGGAAUCCGGCCAGGACUCCCCUGGCACCUGACGUCUCCCACGCUCCACCUGCGCGCCCACUGCCCCCUCCGCCGCCCCUUCCCCAGCCCUGCCCCGGCAGACUCCCCCUGCCGCCCAGACUUCCAAUAAAACCUGCUGCAGCGCGCCUUCGCCGCCAAAGCAUCCAGCAGCCCCCUGCUCCGGCCCAGCAUGGCGACCCCGACCCAGACCCCCACAAA